GCUUGUCUCAAAGAUUAAGCCAUGCAUGUUCAAGUAUAGCAAGUGUACAGUGAAACUGCGAAUGGCUCAUUAAAUCAGUUAUAGUUUAUUUGAUAGUCCUUUACUACUUGGAUAACCGUAGUAAUUCUAGAGCUAAUACAUGCAUCAACUCCCAACUGCUUGUCGGACGGGAUGUAUUUAUUAGAUUGAAACCAAUGCGGGGCAACCCGGUAUUGUGGUGAAUCAUAAUAACUUUGCGGAUCGCAGACCUCGCGUCGGCGACGAAUCAUUCAAGUUUCUGCCCUAUCAGCUUUGGAUGGUAGGGUAUUGGCCUACCAUGGCUCUAACGGGUAACGGAGAAUUGGGGUUCGAUUCCGGAGAGGGAGCCUGAGAGAUGGCUACCACAUCCAAGGAAGGCAGCAGG
rnacentral:rRNA from 1 species